rnacentral:tRNA from 1 species
GGCGCAUGGCUCAGUGGCUAGGGUAUUCGGCUGACGAUCGUAAAGUCGUGAGUUCAAUUCUCGGUGACGCUU